GCGAAGUGUCAAUUUGGGACAUUUGAAGAUGACGCGAUUACAGACCACUUACUGGAAGGCACUGCGUUACCAGAAUUGCGUGAGCUGUUGCUCACAGAAGGUGGGCGUCUGUCGUUUGAACUCCGCAGUAACGUUGGCUACUACAUAUGAAGACGGUGCGCAAGAUCGCAGAGAGCUUCAGCAGCUUUGCGAAGUUCAGCAACUCCAGAUGGGAGCACUGCAAGGAGGGAAGGGAAGAUAGCAGAAAAAGGGAGCAGACAGAGCACCAGCGGGAUGUCCUAAAUCAACAGAGCUACGUGCAGAUACAAGCCCUUAACACAGACAGUAUCCUAAGCAGCAAAGCGAACUUCCGACACCCUCGUGGGAUCUUCAAGAACAUCAGCAUCCCAGGAUUGUUUUUGAUCGAGUUAUGACCACUGAACCCGAGGGAUCGUUCUUCAUCUCUGAUGUGAUUCGGCGCUCCUCCACGGAAGAGCGGUCCAGCAACACUGGGCUUCACCUCACCGGUAUUCUUCACGUGCACCUUUUUGUGGGUUCUGUGCCAUCGGUGGCGACUACUACACAACGAAAUCGAGGAAGCAGAUGACUGCUCAUCCAUGCCGCACGAAGAAGUAACUAAGCGCGUGACUGCCCGAACAAACUAAGCAAACAACCGACGGCCCGCACGAGACUACCUGUGACGUCACGUAGGGUACAGGAGGCCGGAGAGGGAGUCUUCAGGUGUUUCGGUUUCUAUAUAUAAGCUUCCCAGCUCUUUUGACAAUUAACGAGUCCCCGACCGCUAUACCAAC